rnacentral:rRNA from 1 species
CGGGACACGUGGUAUCCUGUCUGAAUAUGGGGGGACCAUCCUCCAAGGCUAAAUACUCCUGACUGACCGAUAGUGAACCAGUACCGUGAGGGAAAGGCGAAAAGAACCCCGGCGAGGGGAGUGAAAAAGAACCUGAAACCGUGUACGUACAAGCAGUGGGAGCCUCUUAAUGGGGUGACUGCGUACCUUUUGUAUAAUGGGUCAGCGACUUAUAUUCUGUAGCAAGGUUAACCGAAUAGGGGAGCCGAAGGGAAACCGAGUCUUAACUGGGCGUUAAGUUGCAGGGUAUAGACCCGAAACCCGGUGAUCUAGCCAUGGGCAGGUUGAAGGUUGGGUAACACUAACUGGAGGACCGAACCGACUAAUGUUGAAAAAUUAGCGGAUGACUUGUGGCUGGGGGUGAAAGGCCAAUCAAACCGGGAGAUAGCUGGUUCUCCCCGAAAGCUAUUUAGGUAGCGCCUCGUGAAUUCAUCUCCGGGGGUAGAGCACUGUUUCGGCAAGGGGGUCAUCCCGACUUACCAACCCGAUGCAAACUGCGAAUACCGGAGAAUGUUAUCACGGGAGACACACGGCGGGUGCUAACGUCCGUCGUGAAGAGGGAAACAACCCAGACCGCCAGCUAAGGUCCCAAAGUCAUGGUUAAGUGGGAAA